rnacentral:rRNA from 1 species
AUUGAACGCUGGCGGCAUGCUUUACACAUGCAAGUCGAACGGUAACAGGCCUUCGGGUGCUGACGAGUGGCGCACGGGUGAGUAAUGCAUCGGAACGUGCCCAGAGGUGGGGGAUAACGCAGCGAAAGCUGUGCUAAUACCGCAUGUGAUCUGAGGAUGAAAGCGGGGGACCAGGCAGCAAUGUUUGGCCUCGCGCCUUUGGAGCGGCCGAUGUCAGAUUAGGUAGUUGGUGGGGUAAAGGCCUACCAAGCCGACGAUCUGUAGCUGGUCUGAGAGGACGACCAGCCACACUGGGACUGAGACACGGCCCAGACUCCUACGGGAGGCAGCAGUGGGGAAUUUUGGACAAUGGGCGCAAGCCUGAUCCAGCAAGGCCGCGUGAGGGAAGAAGGCCUUCGGGUUGUAAACCGCUUUUGUACGGAACGAAAAGGCUCUGGCUAAUACCUGGGGAUGAUGACGGUACCGGAAGAAUAAGCACCGGCUAACUACGUG